rnacentral:rRNA from 1 species
GUGCCAGUCUGCCGCGGUAAUACCGGCAGCCCGAGUGAUGGCCGAUCUUAUUGGGCCUAAAGCGUCCGUAGCUGGCUGCGCAAGUCCGUCGGGAAAUCCACUCGCCCAACGAGUGGGCGUCCGACGGAAACUGCACAGCUUGGGACCGGAAGGCUCGAAGGGUACGUCCGGGGUAGGAGUGAAAUCCCGUAAUCCUGGACGGACCGCCGAUGGCGAAAGCACUUCGCGAGAACGGAUCCGACAGUGAGGGACGAAAGCCAGGGUCUCCAACCGGAUUAGAAACCCCUGUAGUCC